AGCCUUCUAUAUCCGUGUUGAGAUUUCUUCACACACCAGACCACAAGGGCUGAUGAAACUACUAAAAUAAGUGAAGUG
rfam:Schistosoma mansoni strain Puerto Rico chromosome W, complete genome